rnacentral:rRNA from 1 species
CCUACGGGAGGCAGCAGUGGGGAAUAUUGCACAAUGGGCGAAAGCCUGAUGCAGCGACGCCGCGUGAGGGAUGACGGCCUUCGGGUUGUAAACCUCUUUCAGCAGGGAAGAAGCGAAAGUGACGGUACCUGCAGAAGAAGCGCCGGCUAACUACGUGCCAGCAGCCGCGGUAAUACGUAGGGCGCAAGCGUUGUCCGGAAUUAUUGGGCGUAAAGAGCUCGUAGGCGGCUUGUCACGUCGGGUGUGAAAGCCCGGGGCUUAACCCCGGGUCUGCAUUCGAUACGGGCUAGCUAGAGUGUGGUAGGGGAGAUCGGAAUUCCUGGUGUAGCGGUGAAAUGCGCAGAUAUCAGGAGGAACACCGGUGGCGAAGGCGGAUCUCUGGGCCAUUACUGACGCUGAGGAGCGAAAGCGUGGGGAGCGAACAGGAUUAGAUACCCUGGUAGUCCACGCCGUAAACGGUGGGAACUAGGUGUUGGCGACAUUCCACGUCGUCGGUGCCGCAGCUAACGCAUUAAGUUCCCGCCUGGGGAGUACGGCCGCAAGGCUAAAACUCAAAGGAAUUGACGG